rnacentral:rRNA from 1 species
UUUAUGAGUUUUCGGAUUGCCUCCUUUGCGGCGCCUCGCGUGUUGCAUUGCGUGGCCGAAAAGUUGCUCGAAUUUGAUCAUUUAGAGGAAGUAAAAGUCGUAACAAGGUUUCCGUAGGUGAACCUGCGGAAGGAUCAUUAAUGAACAUGAAAAUGUGAAACCACAGUGAACCCGAGCGUGUGAAUGAACAUGUGUGUUGUGUGUACCGGGUAGGUUACCGACACACACUGUCUUAUUCUUCCAAUAUAUAUACUAUGUAGCAAAUAACAAAGAGAACUAGUAAUAAGAGAAAAACUGCUGACGGCGGAUCUCUUGGUUCGUGUAUCGAUGAAGAACGUAGCCAGUUGCGAAAAGUAAUGUGAAUUGCAGAAUGAAGUGAAUCAUCGAAUCUUUGAACGCAAAUUGCACUCUUUGGAAUUCCAUUGAGUAUGUCUGUCUGAGUGUCUUGACAAACCUUACACCUCGGUGUGAACUCGGGCCUCUGGUUACCACCUGGUAACUCGCGCCUGCAAGACCCUGCUCAACGCGCUUGAGACAACAACGUUUGAUCUUAGACAAGCCGCGGGCACCAACCCAAACGAACAUGGACCUCAGAUCAGGCAAGACUACCCGCUGAAUUUAAGCAUAUUAAUAAGCGGAGGAAAAGAAACUAACUA